rnacentral:tRNA from 1 species
GGCCCAUUAGCUCAGUUGGUUAGAGCGCUUGCCUGUCACGCAAGAGGUCGACGGUUCAAGUCCGUUAUGGGUCG